rnacentral:tRNA from 1 species
UUAAUUUUGCAAUGAAAAUGUAAUGUUUUUUUUAAACUAUAUUAAUAGAAAUUUAAACAUUUUUUUGCUUA